rnacentral:lncRNA from 1 species
GAAAGCUUAAAUUAUUGUUAAUCUAACUGCAGUGUCCAAUUUACAGUAGAUAUUACAGCGAAAAAAUACCAUGCUAUUGUUUGAGGAUAGUGCACAACAACAACACAUUUUUAUCACGGCAACUAGUUUUAUACAUUCACCUCUGAAGGUAUAUAAUGUACUUACAUUCAGUAAUCUUGCUCUAAUUUGUCAUCCUGAGGGUCCCGGAGAAAAACUGUAGCGUAGUUUUGUUUGAUAAAAUCCAUUUUUAUAUUAAAAUGUAGGAACUGGGUUCUACAGUUUGCUGUCUCUGGCUCCACACCUACCCCGUCCGGCCAUCUAGAUGUGUGAAGGUUAGUGUCUUUUCUGUUGGGAAGCUAAUGAUCCAUCAUGUAUGACAUUCCUGGGAGUGUGUAAACUUACAUUUUUAUUACCAUAGCAUUUUUGUAUGUUCUCUAUAGUUAUGUACUUGAAAAUGUAUAAAUUUACCAAUUCGGCACAUUUGGGCAAACUCCUGGCAGGCUUGAUACAAAAUAUUGUGGAGUCACUGGAUCAGUCUGAAACUUUGCACACUGCCAUCUUGUGGACAACAUCUAAAUUACAACUAUAAUCCUAAUCAGUAUCUGGUCUCUCUCUUGCAUUUCAAAGAUGCAAAAAACACGUUUUUUUGUUUGUAUUAUCUUUUACCAGAUCUAAUGUGUUAAAUUCUCCUACAUUCAUUUCACAUUUACACAAACUUCAAAGUGUUUCCUUUAAAUUGGUAUCAAUAAUAUGCAUAUCCUUGCUUCAGGGCCUGAGCUACAGGCAGUUAGAUUUGGGUAUGUCAUUUUAGGCGGAAAUUGAAAAAAAAAAAGGGUCCGAUCCUUAAGAGGAGUAAGAGUACAUCUUGCACUAGCCAACAGGCAAACAAUUCUACCAGCUAAGAGAACAAAUAAGUUACAGAUGUAACAAGAUAACUAUCUCUAGCAAAGUCUCAGAAGCAAGCAGUAAUUAUAGUAAACAAUCCCAUAAAAUAUAAGCCCGCAAUUUACAUUGCAGAUGCUCUUCUAGAAUACACACUGAUAACUUUGGUCGGCAGCCAAAUUUGCAUCGUCAUCUAAUAUGGUGUAAUUGUAGACUGAAUAUGGAGUAAUUGUAGACUGAAUAUGGAGUAAUUGCAGACCGUACCCCGGGGCGUUUCUUGUUCUACUAAACUAAUGGUGAAGAGGGAGAGAUGCCAGCGGAGAGGCAUGAAUUGCGCAAGAAGCUCAGUGAUGGGGUGUAGCACUGAUGAGAGGCCCGGAAAGAAUUUCCCCAAGUAGUUCACCAGUCCCAGCAUUUGGCGAAGCUCAGUGAUGUUUGUUGGACUGGGCAUCUCGGAGACGGCUUUCACAAUGAUGUCAUCCGGCUUUAUCCCAUCCAAGUACAGGAUCUCCGACUUCCCACAGUGGCACUUGUCUUUGUUCAGCUUUAGUCCUGACUCUUUGAUGGUCUGUAGCACUUGGCUCAGAUUCGUGUCACGGUCUUCCUUAUUUGCACCGUAGACCAGCAUGUCAUCGAUCACGACAACUGUGCCCUCGUGUCCUCUCAGGAGCUUGCUCAUCUCCCUCGGAAAGCUCUCUGGCGCGCUGUGUAUUCCAAAAGGAAGGCGCUUUUUGGGGGAAAAAGUUUUGCCCAUGCUGCAGAGGGCUGUAUCAGUCCACUAAUACAGGACUAUUAAAGGCCCAGCACUGCAGAGGGCUGUAUCAGUCCACUAAUACAGGACUAUUAAAGGACCAGCACUGCAGAGGGCUGUAUCAGUCCACUAAUACAGGACUAUUAAAGGACCAGCACUGCAG